rnacentral:lncRNA from 1 species
UUUUUUUGUUUUACUCUCCUAAGACCUUGCCUUUUUUCUUUCUUUUUUUUUUUCUACUCAGUUGACUGAGUUCUGUGUUCACUUGAAUUUUUUUUUUGACUAAAAUCGUUAUUGCAACAGAGGCUACACUUGGUUUUUUAAGGAAGAAUGUAGUUUAAUUAUGUGUAAUUUGGCUUAAAGAAAAAUAUUAGUGUCUCCCUCUAGCACCACCAGACUGCCACCAUGCCUGGCUAAAUUUUGUGUUUUUAGUAGAGAUGAGAUUUCACCAUGUUGGCCAGGCUGGUCUCAAACUCCUGUCCUCAAGUGAUCCGCCUGUCUCAGCCUCUCAAACUGCUGGGAUUACAUCAUGAGUCAUCGCUCCUGGCCAACUUUCCCUCCUCUGAGAUGACCAAACUAUCUGUAGACUGGUUGCCUUGUGCAGGUUUUUCCGUGUAGACAUGUUUUCAGCUCCUUUGGGUGCAUACCAAGGAGUGUG